UACGUAGGGUGCGAGCGUUGUCCGGAAUUAUUGGGCGUAAAGGGCUCGUAGGCGGUCUGUCGCGUCGGUAGUGAAAACUCAGGGCUUAACCCCUGAGCCUGCUUCCGAUACGGGCAGACUAGAGGUAUGCAGGGGAGAAUGGAAUUCCUGGUGUAGCGGUGAAAUGCGCAGAUAUCAGGAGGAACACCGGUGGCGAAGGCGGUUCUCUGGGCAUUACCUGACGCUGAGGAGCGAAAGUGUGGGGAGCGAACAGG
rnacentral:rRNA from 1 species